UGCCAGCAGCCGCGGUAAUACGUAGGGUGCAAGCGUUGUUCGGAAUUAUUGGGCGUAAAGAGCAUGUAGGCGGACUGUUAAGUCUGGCGUGAAAGCCCGGGGCUCAACCCCGGGAGUGCGUUGGAUACUGGCAGUCUUGAGUAUGGGAGAGGAAAGUGGAAUUCCGAGUGUAGGAGUGAAAUCCGUAGAUAUUCGGAGGAACACCAGUGGCGAAGGCGGCUUUCUGGAACAAUACUGACGCUGAGGUGCGAAAGCGUGGGGAGCGAACAGGAUUCGAUA
rnacentral:rRNA from 1 species